rnacentral:rRNA from 1 species
ACAGGAGGCCAUGCCAGAGGCUGAACAAAAGUGACAGAUGAGACUGGUCUCCCACUGAAGUUAAGCAGGGUUGAGCCUGGCCAGUACCUGGAUGGGAGACCUCCUGGGGAAAACUAAGGUUGCUGCUGGAA